rnacentral:rRNA from 1 species
AUACGGAGGAUCCGAGCGUUAUCCGGAUUUAUUGGGUUUACAGGGUGCGCAGGCGGCCAUUUAAGUCAGCGGUUAAAUCGUGGGGCUCAACCCCAUUCUGCCGUUGAUACUGGGUGGCUUGAUUGCGGUCGAGGUUGGCGGAAUUCGUUGUGUAGCGGUGAACUGCAUAGAUAUGACGAAGAACACCGAUUGCGUAGGCAGCUGACCAGACCGCAAAUGACGCUCAUGCACGAAAGUGCGGGGAUCGAACAGGAUUAGAUACCCUGGUAGUCCGCACAGUAAACGAUGAAUACUUGUUUUCGGCGAUAUAAUGUCGGAGGCAAAGCGAAAGCGAUAAGUAUUCCACCUGGGGAGUACGCCGGCAACGGUGAAACUCAAAUGAAUUGACGGGG